GCUUUAUAAAUAAUUUAAAUUUAAUUGAUUCAAUUAUUUAAAAAUUAAAUUUGGUUGUUUUAUUUUAUUGGGGUGAUAUGAAUAUAAUUGUUAUUAACUGUUUAAAGGAGAUACUAUAAUAAUAGAGUUAUCAAUUAAUGAUCCUUUUUAAAGAUUAAAAGAUUAAGUU
rnacentral:rRNA from 1 species